AACGCAUUGCACCGCGCCCUAAUCCGGCUGCGGUAUGCCCCUUUGAGCGUCAUUGUAUCCCUUCGGGAGUCCUUUUACAAGGACCCGAGCUCGGAGUCCUCGGUCCUCUYUGGAUCGUGUUCUCUCAGAUGCCUCGCGCCGAUCGCCUGAUGGGUCCUCUAAUGCCUAAGCGUGGAGUUCCUUCAGUCCGAGACGCGCUYGACCGGGUCUUGAGCCUGCGUCAUCAAGUCUGCCUAACCAGCGGUACUACAACGCAUGACCUCAUUGGGGUAGGACAACCCGCUAGACUUAAGCAUAUUAAUCAGCGGAGGAAAAGAAACUAACCAGGAUUCCCUCAGUAACUGCGAGUGAAGCGGGAUCGGCUCAAUGUGUGAAUCUGGCUUGGGGUACGUCCCGGGUCCGAGUUGUGCACUACGGAUGCUUCGUCUGCGUUUGUAAAGGCGGUGGAAGUCCGUUGAAACAGGCACCUCAGAGGGUCACAGUCCUGUACCACCUGCCUGCACUCGCGCCAAUGACAAGUGUCCUUGAGUCGCGUAGUUUUGUAAUGCUGCGCCAAGUGGGAGGUAGAGACCUUCUAAGGCUAAAUAUGAUGACGUGACCGAUAGCACACAAGUACCGCGAGGGAAAGGUGAAAAGCAACCAUGAAAAAUGGGUUGAAACAGUAGUGAAAGCGCUMCCGGGAUAAGGGCUAUCGGGUGCUGGGGCUCUUUGGGUGUGCUUUAGUGCUACCCUCGGAGACGGCCCGCGAGGGUUGAYGUUGGGGCGAUAGACGCGCCGCAGGAAUUCGGCUGCCUUCGGGCAGUGUUGUAGCCUGCGGUUGCCGAUCCUCCUGCGACCUUGUGUGAUUGCGGGUCUUGCGACCGUUAGCCGCCCGUCUUGAAACACGGACCAAGGAGUGCACCUUGCAUGCGAGUCGAAGGGAUUUGAAACCUGGAGGCGUAGCGAACGCGACGAUGGGGAAUGUCCUUGUGGCAGACACCCGCACCCGCCUUGUGCGAGGUAGAGCAUGUACGGUGCGACCCGAAAGAUGGUGAACUAUGCCCGGGUAAGGUGAAGCCAGUGGAAACGCUGGUGGAGGCCUGUAGCGAUUCUGACGUGC
rnacentral:rRNA from 1 species